CUCAUAUGCUUUUUUUCAGGUGAAGUUGUCUUAAACUGCUAAUUCGACAUUCACAUUAAAUUUAAAUUAUUGUGAGUUUUGGCACAUUCCUCUUGCACUGCAAUGAGCAUAAUAGGAAUUUUAUGCUUUACUUUAUUUGUUGGGUAUGUGAAUGUUGCUGGGAACCCAUUAGCUGCUGACCGAACAACAAAAUCUCUUUACAAUGAAACUGACUUGGUAACAGUAUUGGAUUUGAACAACUUCUAUGAGACCCUGCUGGGCAAGGAUCAUGCCUGGCUUGUGCAGUUCUACAGCUCUUAUUGUGGACACUGCAUUGCUUUUGCCCCUCAAUUCAAAAUUUUUGCCAAGAACAUUUCUGACUGGGAUCACACUGUCAAGCUUGCUGUGUUGAACUGUGCUGAUGAAGCUAACACAGGAUUGUGUCGACAAUACGAAGUAUUUAGCUACCCAACACUAUCAUUCCUACCACGCAAUUUAUCCAAGGGUGAUGUAGGUGUCCAGCUGCAGACGGAGCGCACUGUACCCAGCCUACGGGCAGGGCUUGUUCAGUACCUGGCAGCACAGCAGGCUGCAGGCAAUGGGUCUGCCUCCUGGGUCAAUCUGCAGCCAUUCUCGGGCAGCGAGCAGGAGCUGCUGAGCAGCGCUGGGCUGGACGUGAGCGAUGGCGUGGUGUUCGUAGGAAGGGAAGGAUACGCCCAGCAACUCAUCAUGGAUCUUGGACACUUCCGCAACGACAUAAUUCUGCAAAUGAUGAAGCGUGAUGCGGGCUUCUUGAAGGACAUGGAGUUACCGCCGGAGUCUGCCUUGCCUGUCGUGGUGCUCGUACACAGGACCCAGCAGCCGCGUGUGAUCGAGAAAAACUUCACUUCUCUGCAGGAAAUCAUCGACGAAGUCAUUGAGGCUUUGGGUCUUGAUGUGCAGAAACUGCCUUCCAAAAAACUCCAUGUGGAAGAAAACGCGAUGAGGGAAGGGGAGGCCGGCGUAGGUGCUGGAGUCAACGACGGUCUUGUUAAGCCCUCUUCUGACAAGCCCACUAUCUUCCUGGUGGAUGUCGAAAAUGCAGUGGGCAUCGCCCUGCGUCAGGAGGUCGCCUUGCACCGCAUUAUAUCUGGGGAGCGCCUUGCGGCCUUGAAGAAUUUUCUGUCUGUACUCACAAAGUAUCUUCCUGCUAGACCAAAGGUUCACGCUUUUCUCUCUGACUUGAACAAAAGUAUCGGGGCGUAUGAAAAUUCGAUGACAUAUGACGAAUACUCCGCCGCCAUGCAGAGAGCAGAGCAGCACGGAAUGUUACCUCCACAGCAAGCUUGGAUUGGCUGUAGGGGCAGUCAGCCUCAUCUGAGGGGCUUUCCUUGUGGUCUGUGGACAACUUUUCAUCUUUUGCUUUCUAGCGCCGCAAGCAUCGUUCCUCGAGACCCAACACCUGACCCACUGGAGACGCUGUCAGCCAUCCAUGGCUUUGUGAAGUACUUCUUCUCGUGUUCUGAAUGUUCCCAACAUUUCCAAGAGAUGUACAUUGAGGAUGCAGCCGCAUCAGUCGAGUCUUUGGACGCCGCCGUGCUUUGGCUCUGGAAAGCUCACAAUAAAGUCAAUAAGCGCACGGCGGGCACGCAGUCUGAAGACCCUCUGGUGCCGAAGGUGCAGUACCCGCCUCGCUCAUCGUGCCCCCAAUGCUGGACCCGGCCAGGAUCCAGGGAAUCUUUCAGGCCGUUGCGGGUUCUUCAGUACCUCAAUGCAGUGUAUUCCAAGGACGCUCUGUCUCUCAAGGGCAUUUCCCGAGCUUCGCGCAUGCAAGAUCUGGACAAAGUUUACAUGGGUAAGAAUACACAAGACUCGCGCCUGCUGAUUGAUCAGCGUGAUUUUGACGCUUCGUUUGGUGGAGAUGCCAACGUGGUUAAAGUCGUGGACGAUGAUGCUCAGAGCGAGUCUAAAGAGUCAAUUUUUCGCAGCUUGAGUGAGAUCAGUACGUGUAUGCUCCUAUACAGCAUCACGACCCUCACUGUGGGCCUGCUCUACCUCCUCUACCGCAUGAGGCAAAGGAUCCGUCGCAAGAAGUUUAUUGAAAUGUACAAAAAUCCGCUCAAUGCAUGAUGAACCUUUGAUAAACAACUCGUCGUAAAAUUCUUGCUAUGUAUACGGAAGGGACGGGCAAAGACAGGAGUAAUUCUUCAAUGGAAUCUAUCGUCAGGGGCAGAGGCGGCGGGGCCAGCGUAGACGACGCCAGCGUAGACGACGUGUG
rnacentral:misc_RNA from 1 species